UACGAAGGAGGCAAGCGUUAUCCGGAAUUAUUGGGCGUAAAGCGUCCGUAGGUGGCUAGUCAAGUCUGCGGUCAAAGACUGGGGCUUAACCCUGGAAAGGCCGUGGAAACUGACGAGCUAGAGUGCAGUAGGGGUAGAGGGAAUUCCCGGUGUAGCGGUGAAAUGCGUAGAGCUCGGGAAGAACAUCGGUGGCGAAAGCGCUCUACUGGACUGCAACUGACACUCAGGGACGAAAGCUAGGGGAGCGAAUGGG
rnacentral:rRNA from 1 species